AAACAACUCUCAGCAACGGAUAUCUUG
rnacentral:rRNA from 1 species